rnacentral:rRNA from 1 species
UACGUAGGGGGCUAGCGUUGUCCGGAAUCAUUGGGCGUAAAGCGCGUGUAGGCGGCCCGGUAAGUCCGCUGUGAAAGUCGGGGGCUCAACCCUCGAAUGCCGGUGGAUACUGUCGGGCUAGAGUGCGGAAGAGGAGAGUGGAAUUCCUGGUGUAGCGGUGAAAUGCGCAGAUAUCAGGAAGAACACCCGUGGCGAAGGCGGCUCUCUGGGACGGUACUGACGCUGAGACGCGAAAGCGUGGGGAGCGAACAGG